CAAAGGGGCAGGAAAGAGGAGGGGAGGGGGAAAGGAGCGCGGCCGGGUCUGCGCCUGCGCGCGAGGACGGCGCCGCUUCUUAGAGAGACGGUGCCGCGCCUCAGCUGCGCCUGCAGGGGGCGUCAGGGUUGGUCUGUCUUCCUGGGGAAGAGUAGGGGCUGCUGUAGGAAGCCCCCCCGCAGGAUGGCUACAGCUCUGCAUACCCAUGGAGUAAGGCACAAGCAUCAAAUGUGAGAAGGCAGCCUGACGACAUGGCCUUGGAGGACGAGAGAAAGGCCAAAGCAGCCUUUUCUCCUACCAUCCAUGGCCACCUGCUUCCUUUCCCUCUUGAUGCAAGAAAGCACUGAAGUCUCAUGGGACCACCUAGGAAAGAGAACCUUGGGAUAGUAACGUUUUAUCAUCGGAAGAGCAGUUUUGCCGCUCUGAACAGAUCUAACUCUAGAUGUCUUGGCUAUCUCCUGUUUGCAAGCUGCUAAGCACUGCAAACAUUCCCAAAAUCAGGUCUGGCCUUAUCAGUUGCUUAGUGCAGCAUAUGUUGGAGAGGAUAUCCUUUCUUUAGUAUAUUUGUGUACCACCCCAAACUUACAUCUCUGAGCAGUUUGCAACAAAUGUAAAAUAACAUUAAAACAAAUCCACAGUUCCACAAAUCUAGUUAAAAGCUUGGAUGAAUACUUCAGUCCAGGGAAUGUGUUCUUUCAAUUGGACCGGUGUUUUUCUUUCCAUUGCAAAACUGUCUUAAGGCAAGCACCAUUCAUUGUGUCUUUGAUCUGGGUGGCAUUUGCAUUUUGAAUCAUGGUGAUUCUCUUUAUUUAGCAGGGGGAGAGUAACUGGCCCUCUCCACCCCAGUACAGUACCUCCAGUGACUGUUGCUGGUGUCUAUCUUGUGGUUUUUUUUAGAAUGUGAGCUCUUUGAGGACAGGGAGCCAUCUUAUUAAUUAUUAUUUCUCUGUGUAAACCACCCUGAGCCAUUUUUGGAAGGGCGGUAUAGAAAUUGAAUUAAUAAUAAUAAUUAAUAUGUGCCAUGCUUAAAAAUAAAUAUAUUCAGUAUAAGGAAAGUUAAAAUGCUGCUUUAGCAUUGCCAGGCAUAUUAAAGAGGCAGACAUGGUCAGAUUUAAAACAAGCCAUAACUUUAUGUGUCAAGCACAAAAUAAAGUUUUAAUAAAUAAAUAUUUUAAAUAAUAGACUUUUAACGUAUUUACUUAAUUUGGUUAAUUUUCUUACUUUUAUUAUAUAUUGUAUCUAUUUUAUUGUUAUGAGCUGCCCCGAGCAGCAGUGUACUGGAGGGGCAGGGUAUAAACAUUUUAAAUAAAUAAAUAAGUUGUGACUUGUUUUAAAUGUGAUGCAAGAAUACAUUUACUAUUGUUCUGUGCUUCAUUACAUAACAAGAGUGACGUCUGCUUAUACUUUUCUUAUUGUAUGGAGAAUGUCAAUGUACUGCAUUGUAUCCUGGCUAUGUUCUGGUUGUGUUCUUUUUAAAGAAGAUUUUAAUAAAUACAUAUUACUGUGAUAACA